UGGCCACAUCAUAUUGAAACACUAGUUCCCAUAUGAUCACAGAAGUUAAGCAACGUGAACCUGGUCAGUACCUUGAUGGGUAACCUCUUGGAAAUACCAGGUGCUGUAA